rnacentral:rRNA from 1 species
CGCCGUACGGGGGAAAGAUUUAUCGGGGAUGGAUGAGCCCGCGUUGGAUUAGCUAGUUGGUGGGGUAAAGGCCUACCAAGGCGACGAUCCAUAGCUGGUCUGAGAGGAUGAUCAGCCACAUUGGGACUGAGACACGGCCCAAACUCCUACGGGAGGCAGCAGUGGGGAAUAUUGGACAAUGGGCGCAAGCCUGAUCCAGCCAUGCCGCGUGAGUGAUGAAGGCCUUAGGGUUGUAAAGCUCUUUCACCGGAGAAGAUAAUGACGGUAUCCGGAGAAGAAGCCCCGGCUAACUUCGUGCCAGCAGCCGCGGUAAUACGAAGGGGGCUAGCGUUGUUCGGAAUUACUGGGCGUAAAGCGCACGUAGGCGGACUUUUAAGUCAGGGGUGAAAUCCCGGGGCUCAACCCCGGAACUGCCUUUGAUACUGGAAGUCUGGAGUAUGGAAGAGGUAAGUGGAAUUCCGAGUGUAGAGGUGAAAUUCGUAGAUAUUCGGAGGAACACCAGUGGCGAAGGCGGCUUACUGGUCCAUUACUGACGGUGAGGUGCGAAAGCGUGGGGAACAAACAGGAUUAGAUACCCUGGUAGUCCACCCCGUAAACGAAGAAUGUUAGCCGUCGGGCAGUAUACUGUUCGG